rnacentral:lncRNA from 1 species
UUUGAGAGUUAGAACACUUAAUGACUUGACGGAAGUUGAUUGGAUCAUCUUCCUCAAGUCCAAUAUCACUUUCUUGUUCUUGGAGAAAUACUACAUAAUAAUCCGAAAUUGUAUUUCUCCUCUCUCUAGUGGAUCUCCUUAAUGGCAUUUCAAUUUCUUAAGGUUGUUGAGUUUGAUUUUCAUUAGUUAUAUCAGGGUCCUGAUGGA